CCGCGCACCUGGGCGCCAUCCGCCCUGGCUCCGCUGCACGAGCUCCACGCCCGUACCCCGGCGUCACGCUCAGAUGCAAACAAAAUCUUACACUCUUCUCCUUUGGAUACAAUAGAGAAACGGAAAGAAAGGAAGGAACAAGAGGCCUGUGUUAAGUCCUGUUGAUGUUAAGUCCUGUUGAGAGCACCAGCUUGGUUUCUGCUUUCCGGGAGAGCUGGUGCACCUCUUCCACCUGCAGUUUCACCAGCUGAAUGUGAUUCCUGGCGGUUAUAGAGGCCUGAUCUGCGCCUGCCAAAAGAUGGGACAAUCGGGUUGAGCAGCCGUGCAGGGCGCGGAAGGCUCAUGUGGACGUUGGCCUGGGGGUGCUGUGGCUGUCAUCUGAACCCCUCUUGGGGUCACUUUCCUUGACCUCCCUGUCUUCUCUCUCUGCAAAGAAACUUCCACCUCUAUGUUCAGGUCUGGAUUUAACUGACACUCUGUCAAAAACAGCAUUUUUCUUCAGCUGUCAGCGGCCAACAUCACAAUUAUUAAAUGCAACUCUCACAAUCAUCUUUAUAGCUACAGAGCUUUUAGUACAGACCUUUGAUUAAUUUUUUUAACUACACAUCUUCCAUUUCUUUUUGACAAAGAGAUCAUGAAUAAAAUUGUCAAAGAUCCCUUUCA
rnacentral:lncRNA from 1 species